rnacentral:rRNA from 1 species
UACAGAGGGUGCAAGCGUUAAUCGGAAUUACUGGGCGUAAAGCGUGCGUAGACGGUUAUGUAAGUCAGAUGUGAAAGCCCCGGGCUCAACCUGGGAAUUGCAUUUGAGACUGCAUAGCUAGGGUGCGGAAGAGGGAAGCGGAAUUUCCGGUGUAGCGGUGAAAUGCGUAGAUAUGUGGAGGAAUACCGAUGGCGAAGGCAGCCCCCUGGGAUAACACUGACGCUCAUGCACGAAAGCGUGGGGAGCAAACAGG